UGACGCUGGCGGAAUGCUUUACACACGCAGUCGAACGGCAGCACGGACUUCGGUCUGGUGGCGAGUGGCGAACGGGUGAGUAUACAUCGGAACGUGCCCAGUCGUGGGGGAUAACGUAGCGAAAGCUACGCUAAUACCGCAUACGAUCUAAGGAUGAAAGCGGGGGAUCGCAAGACCUCGCGCGAUUGGAGCAGCCGAUGGCAGAUUAGUAGUUGGUAGGGUAAAGGCCUACCAAGCCGACGAUCUGUAGCUGGUCUGAGAGGACGACCAGCCACACUGGGACUGAGACACGGCCAGACUCCUACGGGAGGCAGCAGUGGGGAAUUUUGGACAAUGGGCGAAAGCCUGAUCCAGCCAUUCCGCGUGCAGGAUGAAGGCCCUCGGGUUGUAAACUGCAUUUUGUACGGAACGAAAAGGUCCUGGUUAAUACCUGAGGCUCAUGACGGUACCAGUAAGAAUAAGCACCGGCUAACUACAUGCCAGCAGACCGCGGUAAUACGUAGAGGUGCAAGCGUAAAUCGGAAUUACUGGGCGUAAAGCGUGCGCACGUGCGGUGAUGUAAGACAGAGGUGAAAUCCCCGGGGCUCAACCCUU
rnacentral:rRNA from 1 species